rnacentral:misc_RNA from 1 species
AACCCUCUCAUUCCAAUUUGUUUUGUUUAAGAAAGAAAUUGAGAUGGAUGUUGGGUGUUGCCGUUAUUGUGUCUCCCCUUAUAUAUAUAAACUCUUUUAGUGAAAAAUAUGUGGAUAUUCGUGGUGUUAUAUUUAAUAUUCUGUGGAGAGUGGGGUGUUUUAAAAAACUAUGCCCCUUUUAGACUUUGAGAUAUAUAUCUUCCACACCCCAUUUUAUUUAUUUUUAUACACCUCAUAUCGUGGGAC